AUUGAACGCUGGCGGCAUGCCUUACACAUGCAAGUCGAACGGCAGCACGGGGGCAACCCUGGUGGCGAGUGGCGAACGGGUGAGUAAUGCAUCGGAACGUGCCCAGUAGUGGGGGAUAACCCGGCGAAAGCCGGGCUAAUACCGCAUACGACCUACGGGUGAAAGCGGGGGACCGUAAGGCCUCGCGCGAUUGGAGCGGCCGAUGUCUGAUUAGCUAGUUGGCGGGGUAAAGGCCCACCAAGGCGACGAUCAGUAGCUGGUCUGAGAGGACGACCAGCCACACUGGGACUGAGACACGGCCCAGACUCCUACGGGAGGCAGCAGUGGGGAAUUUUGGACAAUGGGCGCAAGCCUGAUCCAGCCAUGCCGCGUGCGGGAAGAAGGCCUUCGGGUUGUAAACCGCUUUUGGCAGGAACGAAACGGCGCAAGCUAAUACCUUGCGCUAAUGACGGUACCUGCAGAAUAAGCACCGGCUAACUACGUGCCAGCAGCCGCAGUAACAC
rnacentral:rRNA from 1 species